rnacentral:rRNA from 1 species
GAUGAACGCUGGCGGCGUGCUUAACACAUGCAAGUCGAGCGGAAAGACCAUGAGCUUGUUCCUUUGACGUUAGCGGCGCCCGGGCGAGUAACACGAGGAUAACCCCCCUCUAAGACUGGGAUAACUUCGGGAAACCGGAGCUAAUACCGGAUAAUAUAUUGAUCCGCCUGGUUCAUUAGUAAAAGACGGUUUUGCUGUCACUUAUAGAUGGAUACGCGCCGCAUUAGCUAGUUGGGUAGGUAACGGCGUACCAAGGCAACGAUGCGUAGCCGACCUGAGAGGAGGAGAGGCCACACUGGAUCGGAGACACGGUCCAGACUACUAAGGGAGGCAGCAGUAGGGUAACGUACGCAGUGGGCGGAAGCAUGGCGUAGCAAAGCCGCGUGAGUGAUAGAGGUCUUGGGAUCGUGAUACUCUGUUAUUAGGGAAGAACAAAUGUGUAAGUAACUAGUGACGUCUUGACGGUACCUAAUGAGAAAGCCACGGCUAACUACGUG